AUUAUACUUCCUUCGUUCCGAAUUACUUGUCGUAGAAAUGGAUAUAUUUAGAUGUAUUUUAGUUUUAGGUACAUUCACUUCUGUGACGAGUAAUUUGCAACGAAGGAAGUAGAUU
rnacentral:pre_miRNA from 1 species